GACGAACGCUGGCGGCGUGCUUAACACAUGCAAGUCGAACGGAAAGGCCCAGCUUGCUGGGUACUCGCGUUGCCAACGGGUGAGUAACACGUGGGUGAUCUGCCCCUCUCUUUGGGUUAAGCCUGUUCAACUGGGUCUAAUACCUGAUAUUCAUUUUUCCUCGCAUGGGGGUUUGUGGAUAGCUUUGGCUGUUAGUGCUGGUCCUGAGGCCUAUCGGCUUGUUGGUGCAGGUUUGUCCUACCACGGCGAAGACAGGUAGCCGACCGGAGAGGGUGAUCGGCCACACGGGGCCUGAGAGACGCACCAGAGUCGUACGGGAGGCAGUAGUCGGGAAUAUUGCAGAAUGGGGGCAAGCCUGAUGCAGCGACGCCGCGAGAGGGAUGACGGCCUACGGGUUGAAAACAACUUUCAGAGCAGACGAAGAGCAAGUGACGGUAGGAAAAGAAGAAGCACCGGCCAACUACGUG
rnacentral:rRNA from 1 species